GUGGGGAAUCUUAGACAAUGGGGGAAACCCUGAUCUAGCCAUGCCGCGUGAGCGAUGAAGGCCUUAGGGUUGUAAAGCUCUUUCAGCUGGGAAGAUAAUGACGGUAACAGCAGAAGAAGCCCCGGCUAACUCCGUGCCAGCAGCCGCGGUAAUACGGAGGGGGCUAGCGUUGUUCGGAAUUACUGGGCGUAAAGCGCACGUAGGCGGAUCAGAAAGUCAGAGGUGAAAUCCCAGGGCUCAACCUGUGAACUGACUUUGAAACUCCUAGUCUUGAGGUCGAGAGAGGUGAGUAGAAUUCCGAGUGUAGAGGUGAAACUCGUAGAUAUUCGGAGGAACACCAGUGGCGAAGGCGGCUCACUGGCUCGAUACUGACGCUGAGGUGCGAAAGCGUGGGGAGCAAACAGGAUUAGAAACCCGUGUAGUCC
rnacentral:rRNA from 1 species